rnacentral:rRNA from 1 species
CCUACGGGAGGCAGCAGUGAGGAAUAUUGGUCAAUGGACGAGAGUCUGAACCAGCCAAGUAGCGUGAAGGAUGACUGCCCUAUGGGUUGUAAACUUCUUUUAUAAGGGAAUAAAACGAGGCACGUGUGCCUUUUUGCAUGUACUUUAUGAAUAAGGAUCGGCUAACUCCGUGCCAGCAGCCGCGGUAAUACGGAGGAUCCGAGCGUUAUCCGGAUUUAUUGGGUUUAAAGGGAGCGUAGAUGGGUUGUUAAGUCAGUUGUGAAAGUUUGCGGCUCAACCGUAAAAUUGCAAUUGAUACUGGCAGUCUUGAGUACAGUUGAGGUAGGCGGAAUUCGUGGUGUAGCGGUGAAAUGCUUAGAGAUCACGAAGAACACCGAUUGCGAAGGCAGCUUACUAAACUGUGACUGACAUUGAUGCUCGAAAGUGUGGGUAGCAAACAGGAUUAGAUACCCCUGUAGUC